UACGAGGGGGGCGAGCGUUGUUCGGAAUUAUUGGGCGUAAAGGGUGCGUAGGCGGUUUGGUAAGUCUGAUGUGAAAUCUAUGGGCUCAACUCAUAGUCUGCAUCGGAAACUGCCGGGCUUGAGUGUGGGAGAGGUGAGUGGAAUUCCUGGUGUAGCAGUGAAAUGCGUAGAGAUCAUGAGGAAGACCAGUGGCGAAGGCGGGUCUCUGGACAGUUCCUGACACUGAGGCACGAAGGCCAGGGGAGCAAACGGG
rnacentral:rRNA from 1 species